rnacentral:rRNA from 1 species
UAAGGAAUAUUGCUCAAUGGGAGAAAUCCUGAAGCAGCAACGCCGCGUGGAGGAUGAAGGGUCUAUGACUUGUAAACUCCUGUAAAGAAGGAAAAAAUUCCCCGUUGAUGGGAGAUGAUGGUACUUCUGGAGUAAGCCCCGGCUAACUACGUGCCAGCAGCCGCGGUAAUACGUAGGGGGCAAGCGUUGUCCGGAUUUACUGGGUGUAAAGGGUGCUCAGGCGGAUUUGUAAGUCAGAGGUGAAAUCUUACAGCUUAACUGUGAAACUGCCUUUGAUACUGCAAGCCUAGAGUAUGGAAGAGAGUGAUGGAAUAUCUGGUGUAGCAGUGAAAUGCGUAGAUAUCAGAUAGAACACCAAUGGCGAAGGCAGUCACUUGGUCCAUUACUGACGCUAAAGCACGAAAGCGUGGGUAGCAAACA